CAACACCUUAACCUUCCCUAGUCAUCCAAAUGUCUCAUAUGCACGGUGCUUUCAGAGAAAAAACAAACAAUUUAAUUUUCAUUAACUAUGUUUUCCUAAAGAAAUGCAAUUAACCGAGAGAAAAAAUCAAGCCUUAAAACUAUUAUUUUUCUCUUCUCUAAUACUUUCCAAAUUCCAUUUCUUGCAUCAGUACUAGCGCCGAUCAACUAGAUAUUUUCAUACAAUCAUUGUUAUCUUUCUAGAUUCCCAGUUUCUUCAUUGAUUUCUGAGUUCAUUAGAGUUUAAAAUCCGCUUCCGCCUACGGACUCAAACUCUGCUGUACCCACGGCCCUUCUUCAACAUUCUCCCCUGUCUCUGUUAACCACCCUUUCCAUUUCCUUUAGGACUUUCUCUAUCAAAUACAUUAGAGUGUUGUAUCUAAGUCUUUUCGCUGCCAGCACGUACGCUACUUCAUUGGCCUUCCAAGAUUUGAUUUUAUUGAUUGUUGUUAAAGCAUCUCCUUCAAUGCUAACCUCUCAGAAUCCUAGUUCAUCAACAAAAAUGACCAUCUAAAAACAUGCCCUUACUUCUGCCAUGGUUGGGAAUGAAAUCCGGAUGCCGUGCCUACACUAUAUCGAUAGAAGCAAGACUAAUAAGUCUCUAAAUUUUGCAACCCUGAACCAUCAUGCAAGAUAAAGCAACAUUCGACAAUGACAACUCCCAGUCUAUAUCAUAGCUAUCGGGGGCUCGAGGAUCAUCAAGGAUCGUUACCACACUAUCGAACCUUAUUUUGGUACCUUUUGACAUUGUGAAUAUAAAAGUAUGACAUGUAUAGGCUAAAAGUAUUUGGAUAUGUUUUGUAAUGUGAUAUGGCUAGUUUGUGUUUGAAUUUAUGGUUUGAUUUUGAUAUAUGAUAUGUAAUGCAAAUUAUGCCUA